ACAUUCUUCUGUAACAUUAGUCACUAUUGGUAGGAAAACUUGAUCUUCUGGCGUGCUAAGGCCUAUAUGCACGAGUAAUAAGUAUAGCAUUGUAUUCCCAGCUCGUGUGGGUGAUUUAAGAACGGUAUUGGUGCCCGGCUUGUGAAGAUGACAGACGCUKCUUAAGAGGAACGAAAAUGAAGUUUUAAACCUUACGAGGACUCGUAGCUUACAUUUAUUUGAAGACUUUCACAAGUCAUCGAAAUGUCUUCAUCAUCAGCUUUCCCAAGCAAAAACAUGACUUCCAAGAAUGGAACUUUCGUCCCCCCCGGUCCACCAGGUGGAGGUCCACCGUUCCCAAUUACCACAGAAGAAUACAUCAUCGCCGUACUGUUGUCCAUCGUCACAUUCUUCAUUCUGCUUGAAAACAUACUGGUGUUACUUUCUUUCCGAGUGAACCGACGCCUUCGAAAUAAAACAAACUACUUCAUUCUUUCUCUCGCUAUAGCCGAUUUGUUGAUUGGCAUCUUGUCUGUACCAUUUUAUGURUACAGCAUUACUCAAAAGCCACRCAAUGAUCCUUUUUAUCCAUUUUGGCUUGCAAUCGAUGUCAUGAUAGGAGUAUCAGCCAUUAUGAACUUGACAAUGAUUAGUAUGGAAAGAGCAUAUGCUUUGCUGAGACCAAUUCAACACAGGAACAUAA